rnacentral:rRNA from 1 species
ACGCGUCUUGGUUAAUGAUGUUAGGUGCUUGCAUUUAACUGAUUCCCUUUGAGACGAGUGGCGAACUGGUGAGUAACACGUGGGUCCCCUGCCCUGAAGUGGGGGAUAACACUUGGAAACAGGUGCUAAUACCGCAUAACAACGAAAACCACAUGGUUUUCGUUUGAAAGAUGGCUUCGGCUGUCACUUUUGGAUGGACCCGCGGCGUAUUAGCUUGUUGGUGAGGUAACGACUCACCAAGGCCAUGAUACGUAGCCGACCUGAGAGGGUAAUCGGCCACAUUGGGACUGAGACACGGCCCAAACUCCUACGGGAGGCAGCAGUAGGGAAUCUUCCACAAUGGACGAAAGUCUGAUGGAGCAACGCCGCGUGAGUGAUGAAGGGUUUCGGCUCGUAAAACUCUGUUGUUGGAGAAGAACAGGUGAUAGAGUAACUGUUAUCAUCUUGACGGUAUCCAACCAGAAAGCCACGGCUAACUACGUGCCAGCAGCCGCGGUAAUACGUAGGUGGCAAGCGUUGUCCGGAUUUAUUGGGCGUAAAGCGAGCGCAGGCGGUUUUUUAGGUCUGAUGUGAAAGCCUUCGGCUUAACCGGAGAAGGGCAUCGGAAACCGGGAGACUUGAGUGCAGAAGAGGACAGUGGAACUCCAUGUGUAGCGGUGAAAUGCGUAGAUAUAUGGAAGAACACCAGUGGCGAAGGCGGCUGU